UCCAGAGGGACAGAACUCACAGGAUGUGAGUUUGUUAGCGAGAAUUAGCUUUCGUGAUUACAAAGAUGAAGCCCCAUGAUAAGCCAUCUGCAAGCUGGAGAGUGACAAAAGCUGGUCUUCAAUUGAUUGGAUAAGACCCGUCCAUGUUUGGAAAGCAAUAUGCUUUAUUCAGUUUAUCAGUUCAAGUGUGAAUCUCACCCAGAAAAACUAUCACAGACAUACCCAGAAUAAUGUUUGACCAAAUAUCUGGGCACCCAUUCAAGUUGACAUGUAAAAUUAUCCAUCACAAGUAAUGAGAAAGUUAAGGUCACAAAAGUAGAUGAAGAUUUUCAGUCUGACUGAAA